AGAGUUUGAUCCUGGCUCAGAACGAACGCUGGCGGCAGGCUUAACACAUGCAAGUCGAACGCAUCCUUCGGGGUGAGUGGCAGACGGGUGAGUAACGCGUGGGAACGUGCCCUUCAGUUCGGGAUAACCCAGGGAAACUUGGGCUAAUACCGGAUACGUGCGAGAGCAGAAAGAUUUAUCGCUGAAGGAUCGGCCCGCGUCUGAUUAGCUAGUUGGUGGGGUAAUGGCCCACCAAGGCGACGAUCAGUAGCUGGUCUGAGAGGAUGAUCAGCCACAUUGGGACUGAGACACGGCCCAAACUCCUACGGGAGGCAGCAGUGGGGAAUAUUGGACAAUGGGCGCAAGCCUGAUCCAGCCAUGCCGCGUGAGUGAUGAAGGCCUUAGGGUUGUAAAGCUCUUUCGUCCGGGACGAUAAUGACGGUACCGGAAGAAGAAGCCCCGGCUAACUUCGUGCCAGCAGCCGCGGUAAUACGAAGGGGGCUAGCGUUGUUCGGAAUCACUGGGCGUAAAGGGCGCGUAGGCGGCUUUGUAAGUCGGGGGUGAAAGCCUGUGGCUCAACCACAGAAUUGCCUUCGAUACUGCAUGGCUUGAGACCGGAAGAGGUAAGUGGAACUGCGAGUGUAGAGGUGAAAUUCGUAGAUAUUCGCAAGAACACCAGUGGCGAAGGCGGCUUACUGGUCCGGUUCUGNNGCUGANNNNNGAAAGCGUGGGGAGCAAACAGGAUUAGAUACCCUAGUAGUCC
rnacentral:rRNA from 1 species